rnacentral:lncRNA from 12 species
UCUCCGCAGUGAUGUCAGUGACUACACGCUGCAGAAAGGGAAAGAAGCAAGCCUUCUCAUAAAGCCACAAAAACCUAUUUUGGGACACCCGUAAGGUGCCUCAGUUACUCCUGAAAGCAGUCAGCUAUGUCCUGAUUGAGGACUGGAGUGAAAGACACCUCUGUGGUUAAUAAUUUCACUCGCAACAAGGGAGCAGAAACCCCGGGCGGAUGCAGCCCCUGGCACUAUGGGGGAAAGGAAAUGGCAACAUUUUACAAGAGGAAGGGAAAUAAUAUAGAGGAAGACUAUGAACAAAUAGGACUUACACUCUUUCUGCUGUGGCUCCCUCGGACCUCUCAGCAGCACCCCAAGACGGUGAGGACCAGAUUCUGGCCAGGACUCUGAUAUUUGGAAGUUAUAUGCACACAACCUAUCCAGUGUUUUAGGUUUUUGGAGGGAAAGAGGGGGAACGAUAGUCCAGAGAAGGGGAGGCCCCAGAGGCAUCAUAAGCAGGGCAAUGCAGAGUUCUCACUGCAUUAAAAAAAAGCAUCUAGUCAGGCAAAGUAGUACAGACCUGGGAUUUAAUAUAUGAUGAUUUUUAUAUAUCAUCUGAACUUAAUACUAUGGUGCAAAGCAAGUCCAAGACUUGAAUGCUUUGUAAAAAUAUGUUUCUGUGUUGUCUCAAAUCCUCUUUGUUAAUAAUACAGAUUAUGAAAAUAUUAACAUACUAGUAGAAAUAUAUUCAUUGAAAAUGAGGAACAGGAUGAGGAAGAGGCAUCAGAUUUAUUUGUGAAUUCAGAUAAUGUAAAUUAAUAAUUUUUGGCUUAUUUUUUGAACUAUUAAGUAAUUCUGAGGAGGUCAACCUCACCUUAUUCAAGCCUGAAUUCCUUCAGAUGUCUUCUGAAUCCACUGCAAAGUUUAUAACUGGUUUCCACUUCACGGACACAAACUAAAGAAAUGUUUUGUUGUGGUAUUAAGGACAAAAUUAAACAAAUUGUGCCAUCAAGUGGUUCGGUAGUCUUAGAUGUAUCACAUAAGCUCCUUUAAGCUUUAAUUUUCUUACCUAUAAAACGAGUGGGUUAGACAAUUUCUAAGGAUCCUUCAUGCAGUAAGGGAUACAAGUGAGGUGUAAAUGAUUCAUUAGUAAUGAAUUUAAAGAGCACGUAGCACAUAUACUAAAGGAAGCGGUUUAGAAGCAGAAUUAUAGGAUUUUGCCUUUGAAAUAUAUGUUAAUCUGUAGAAUUCUUGAAAGUAAUCUAUUCCUGCCCUCUCCUGUUAAUUAUAUGGUGAAGAUAAGACAUAAACCAAAAGAAAUGUGAAAGGUGCUAACAGGUACAUGAAAGUAUACACGAUAUCACUAGCCAUUUGAGAAAUGAAAUUAUGAUCACAAUGAGAUAUCACCUCA